AUAUUACUUUCUCGCAUACAAUGACGACAAAAGUGAUAUAUGCACUCGCAUAUAUCACUUUUGUCGUCAUUGUAUGCGAGAAAGUAAUAU
rnacentral:pre_miRNA from 1 species